UAUCCCAUUAUCUUUCCAUCGAAUGGCUCUCAAGUCACCGAUGGCUUAGAAUGGGGAAAAUUAUAAGAAUAUGUUUGAUAUGUGAAGUAUCGCUUAUUGAUACAUCACUUCAUUCUAUCGACAAUU
rnacentral:snoRNA from 1 species